UAAGUAAAGCAUUAAAUUUAUAAAUCAUAAAGUGAUAAAGUAAUAUCAUAUCUAAGAAGUUUAUAAAAAAAAAAAUAUAUAUCAUAUCUAAGAAUGGAAAAUGUUGCUAAAAUUUUCAAAUUUAUUUAUGUUAUGAUUAUCAUUCUUUCUCUUUUUCUUGUUGUAACCAGCAUGCAUGACUCGGAGGGUGAUGAUUGUACUGAUAGUUCUCAUUGUGAAUGCGACCCUCCUGAGACACCUUUCUGUGUUUUUAAAAUGUGCAUGUGUUUAUAAAAGGAUUCAGUUAUCUACCAUCUAUCUACUUCUACUAUUCUACUUCUACUAUCUACUAUUUACUUCUACUAUUUUUUACCCAUUAAUAAAAGAUUGACCAAACUUCCAAAAA